CUGGCACCCAGGUGUUUUGGAACAGCUGGAACUUUUUCAGACAUCGCCUGAUUGAUCUUCUGCUCAAUUUCACCCGAAAAUUCUGGGACUGGUCCAAAGGUGUUCAGAACAAGUUUCAUACCUUCACGGUAUCUUUCACAAUAAUUUGAAAUACCUUCUGCAUUGAGAUGCAUGGUUUCCAGAGGUCCAAUAAAUGCGUAUCGCAUUCCCAGUCCAUCAGACAUCACAACGUCUAGAUCAGUAGGAG
rnacentral:lncRNA from 1 species